rnacentral:rRNA from 1 species
GACGAACGCUGGCGGCGUGCCUAAUACAUGCAAGUCGAGCGAAGUUUUUCUGGUGCUUGCACUAGAAAAACUUAGCGGCGAACGGGUGAGUAACACGUAAAGAACCUGCCUCAUAGACGGGGACAACUAUUGGAAACGAUAGCUAAUACCGGAUAACAGCAUAAAUCGCAUGAUAUAUGUUUAAAAGUUGGUUUCGGCUAACACUAUGAGAUGGCUUUGCGGUGCAUUAGCUAGUUGGUGGGGUAAAGGCCUACCAAGGCGACGAUGCAUAGCCGACCUGAGAGGGUGAUCGGCCACACUGGGACUGAGACACGGCCCAGACUCCUACGGGAGGCAGCAGUAGGGAAUCUUCCGCAAUGGGCGAAAGCCUGACGGAGCAACGCCGCGUGAGUGAAGAAGGAUUUCGGUUCGUAAAGCUCUGUUGUUAGGGAAGAAUGAUUGUAUAGUAACUAUAUACAGUAGAGACGGUACCUAACCAGAAAGCCACGGCUAACUACGUGCCAGCAGCCGCGGUAAUACGUAGGUGGCAAGCGUUGUCCGGAAUUAUUGGGCGUAAAGCGCGCGCAGGUGGUUUAAUAAGCCUGAUGUGAAAGCCCACGGCUCAACCGUGGAGGGUCAUUGGAAACUGUUAAACUUGAGUGCAGGAGAGAAAAGUGGAAUUCCUAGUGUAGCGGUGAAAUGCGUAGAGAUUAGGAGGAACACCAGUGGCGAAGGCGGCUUUUUGGCCUGUAACUGACACUGAGGCGCGAAAGCGUGGGGAGCAAACAGG